rnacentral:rRNA from 1 species
GAUGAACGCUGGCGGCGUGCCUAAUACAUGCAAGUCGAGCGAACAGAUGAGGAGCUUGCUCCUCUGACGUUAGCGGCGGACGGGUGAGUAACACGUGGAUAACCUACCUAUAAGACUGGGAUAACUUCGGGAAACCGGAGCUAAUACCGGAUAAUAUAUUGAACCGCAUGGUUCAAUAGUGAAAGACGGUUUUGCUGUCACUUAUAGAUGGAUCCGCGCCGCAUUAGCUAGUUGGUAAGGUAACGGCUUACCAAGGCAACGAUGCGUAGCCGACCUGAGAGGGUGAUCGGCCACACUGGAACUGAGACACGGUCCAGACUCCUACGGGAGGCAGCAGUAGGGAAUCUUCCGCAAUGGGCGAAAGCCUGACGGAGCAACGCCGCGUGAGUGAUGAAGGCCUUCGGAUCGUAAAACUCUGUUAUUAGGGAAGAACAAAUGUGUAAGUAACUAUGCACGUCUUGACGGUACCUAAGCAGAAAGCCACGGCUAACUACGU